rnacentral:rRNA from 1 species
GAUCAUGGCUCAGGACGAACGCUGGCGGCGCGCCUAACACAUGCAAGUCGAACGGAGUUUACAGACGGAAGUUUUCGGAUGGAAGCUUGUAAACUUAGUGGCGGACGGGUGAGUAACACGUGAGCAACCUGCCUAUCAGAGGGGGAUAACGAUUGGAAACGAUCGCUAAUACCGCAUUACAUAGCGGAACCGCAUGGUUCUGUUAUCAAGAUUUAUCGCUGAUAGAUGGGCUCGCGUCCGA